GGUCCCCACUAAGGCAGUGUCAAAAGACUACGCCAAGGUGGGGGAAGGCUCAUCUCAGGGUGUGGCCAUGCCUUCUACUUCUGGUGCCGGGCGUCGGUCCGCCAGAGUGCAGCACAUUGCGGUGCCGCUCGGGGCCGAUGAUCUGGGGGCGA
rnacentral:ncRNA from 1 species